rnacentral:rRNA from 1 species
UACGGGAGGAGCGAGCAUUAUUCGGAAUGAUUAGGCGUAAAGGGUUUGUAGGUGGUUUUUUAAGUUGAAAAAAACAAAUUAAAGCUCAACUUUAUAAAUUUUUUCAAAACUGAAAAACUUGAGUAUAAAAUAGAGGAUAAUGGAAUUUCUAUUGGAGGGAUAAAAUAUGUUGAUAAUAGAAGGAAGAUCAAAAGCGAAAGGCAAUUAUCUGG